rnacentral:rRNA from 1 species
GAUGAACGCUGGCGGCGUGCCUAAUACAUGCAAGUCGAGCGAACGGACGAGAAGCUUGCUUCUCUGAUGUUAGCGGCGGACGGGUGAGUAACACGUGGAUAACCUACCUAUAAGACUGGGAUAACUUCGGGAAACCGUAGCUAAUACCGGAUAAUAUUUUGAACCGCAUGGUUCAAAAGUGAAAGACGGUCUUGCUGUCACUUAUAGAUGGAUCCGCGCUGCAUUAGCUAGUUGGUAAGGUAACGGCUUACCAAGGCAACGAUGCAUAGCCGACCUGAGAGGGUGAUCGGUCACACUGGAACUGAGACACGGUCCAGACUCCUACGGAAGGCAGCAGUAGGGAAUCUUCCGCAAUGGGCGAAAGCCUGACGGAGCAACGCCGCGUGAGUGAUGAAGGUCUUCGGAUCGUAAAACUCUGUUAUUAGGGAAGAACAUAUGUGUAAGUAACUGUGCACAUCUUGACGGUACCUAAUCAGAAAGCCACGGCUAACUACGUG